GGGAGGGUCGCGUGAUUAGACAAUGGACCACUAUGAGAACUACUGUGACAGGUAAGUCACCUGACUUUCUCAGCAGUGGUCCGACUGUCUAGCCACAUUGAGGAGACUAGAGAGCUACCUGGUUGGUGAGAAGUGGGCAUCUUAGACCUUUUUACUGCAGAACUGCGUCCAGGACUGCUGCUCCAAACUGGGAAUGACCUCUGCACCUGGUAUCAAGCACAUCAUGCCGGAUGGAUGAAAGUUGACCAUUCCACACUGCUCCUCUACAAAUGGUGUCCAGUGGUACCCCUGGAAGGAAAGCAGUGGAUUUCGCCACAGUGGAUGUUGUUGAAUGCGCCUGAAUAGCCUCUGGGUGCUCUAGUAGAUGGCUUCCUGGAGGCUUCCAUAACUUUCAAAACCUCAUGGCCCUUUAUCGCUUCGGGUGGAUGAUAAGCCACACUGUCAGAUAAAGACUUGUGACAUCCAGGUGUGGCACUCUUCCCCGGUCUGUGGCUUCUACGCAGUGUGCUCCCCGAGGCAGGCCAGGCACUCCACGUGGCCAUCAGAAGAGACGACUUUCCCAACGUAUGACCGACACACACUUUAAAUCCAAUACAUGCAGCCACAGGCAAAUGCAAAUGGAGAGGAAGUGGGCAGGCGGUGGGGGGAUACCGAUCGAAAUAAAAACACAAAACGGACUGGCAGAAAGGAAUGAAGUGGUAGAAAGAGUGAAUAAAAAGUAGAAGGUAUUUGGGACUAAGGGUUUCGUUGUUGUUUUGGAUAGCUC